rnacentral:rRNA from 1 species
UACGUAGGGACCAAGCGUUGUUCGGAUUUACUGGGCGUAAAGGGCGCGUAGGCGGCAAUUCAAGUCAGCUGUGAAAUCUCCGGGCUUAACUCGGAACGGUCAGCUGAUACUGCUUUGCUAGAGUGCAGAAGGGGCAAUCGGAAUUCUUGGUGUAGCGGUGAAAUGCGUAGAUAUCGAGAGGAACACCUGCGGCGAAGGCGGGUUGCUGGGCUGACACUGACGCUGAGGCGCGAAAGCUAGGGGAGCGAACGGG